AAUUUUUACUUUUUGCUUUGGCUUCUCCAACACCUUCCCAUCUCUGAGUGUAAUGGCCUUGACAUGCUCUUUGAGAUUAGUCUUUGAGUUUCAUGGUAAUGAACCUUGAGUUUGACUCGUAAUAACAUUGGCAAGCUGUCCAAUUUGUGUCUCUAGAUUCUUCAUGGAAGCCUCAUGAUUUUACAACCUUGUUUCGAUAGAGUUAAUGAACCUUGUCAUUAGCUCUUCUAAGUUCGAUUUCUUUUCUUGUAGUGG
rnacentral:lncRNA from 1 species